rnacentral:rRNA from 1 species
GACGAACGCUUUCUUCUUUCUUAACACAUGCAAGUCGAACGGAAAGGCCCUGCUUUUGUGGGGUGCUCGAGUGGCGAACGGGUGAGUAACACGUGAGUAACCUGCCCUUGACUUUGGGAUAACUUCAGGAAACUGGGGCUAAUACCGGAUAGGAGCUCCUGCUGCAUGGUGGGGGUUGGAAAGUUUCGGCGGUUGGGGAUGGACUCGCGGCUUAUCAGCUUGUUGGUGGGGUAGUGGCUUACCAAGGCUUUGUCGGGUAGCCGGCCUGAGAGGGUGACCGGCCACAUUGGGACUGAGAUACGGCCCAGACUCCUACGGGAGGCAGCAGUGGGGAAUAUUGCACAAUGGGCGGAAGCCUGAUGCAGCAACGCCGCGUGCGGGAUGACGGCCUUCGUGUUGUAAACCGCUUUCGCCUGUGACGAAGCGUGAGUGACGGUAAUGGGUAAAGAAGCACCGGCUAACUACGGG